AACGCGAGACCUUACCAGGUCUUGACAUCCUUAUGCCAUCUCUAGAGAUAGAGCUUUCCCUUCGGGGACAUAAGUGACAGGUGGUGCAUGGUUGUCGUCAGCUCGUGUCGUGAGAUGUUGGGUUAAGUCCCGCAACGAGCGCAACCCUUGAUCUUAGUUGCCAGCAUUCAGUUGGGCACUCUAAGGUGACUGCCGGUGACAAACCGGAGGAAGGUGGGGAUGACGUCAAAUCAUCAUGCCCCUUAUGACCUGGGCUACACACGUGCUACAAUGGAUGGUACAAAGGGCAGCGAAACCGCGAGGUUAAGCCAAUCCCAUAAAACCAUUCUCAGUUCGGAUUGGAGUCUGCAACUCGACUCCAUGAAGCUGGAAUCGCUAGUAAUCGCAGAUCAGCAACGCUGCGGUGAAUACGUUCCCGGGCCUUGUACACACCG
rnacentral:rRNA from 1 species